rnacentral:tRNA from 1 species
GGACCUUUAGCUCAGUUGGUUAGMGCAGACGGCUCAUAACCGUCCGGUCGUAGGUUCGAGUCCUACAAGGUCCA